rnacentral:rRNA from 1 species
GACGAACGCUGGCGGCGCGCCUAACACAUGCAAGUCGAACGGAGUCAAGAUGAGCUUGCUCUUUUUGACUUAGUGGCGAACGGGUGAGUAACGCGUGCGUAACCUUCUCUUGUGUGGGGGACAACAGCUGGAAACGACUGCUACUACUGCAUAAGCCCACGGAUCCGCGUGGACCUGCGGGCUAAGGACUUGUUCGGUUCAGGUUGGACUCGCGCCCAAUUAGCUAGUGGGUGAGGUAACGGCCCACCAAGGCGACGACAGGUAGCCGGGCUGAGAGGUUGAACGGACACAUUGGGACUGGGACACGGCCCAGACUCCUGCGGGAGGCAGCAGUGGGGGAUAUUGCACAAUGGGGGAAACCCUGAUGCCGCGACGCCGGGUGGAGGAAGAAGGUUUUAGGAUUGUAAACUCCUGUCGUUAGCGACGAUAAUGACGGUACCUAACGAGAAAGCACCGGCUAACUACGUG